rnacentral:rRNA from 1 species
UACGUAGGGUGCGAGCGUUGUCCGGAAUUAUUGGGCGUAAAGGGCUCGUAGGCGGUUUGUCACGUCGGGAGUGAAAACUCGGGGCUUAACCCCGAGCCUGCUUCCGAUACGGGCUGACUAGAGGUAUGCAGGGGAGAACGGAAUUCCUGGUGUAGCGGUGAAAUGCGCAGAUAUCAGGAGGAACACCGGUGGCGAAAGCGGCCACCUGGACUGUACCUGACGCUGACACGCGAAAGCUAGGGGAGCGAACGGG